CGGGGCGUAGCGCAGCUUGGUAGCGCGCCUGCUUUGGGAGCAGGAUGUCGUAGGUUCGAAUCCUAUCGCCCCGACCA
rnacentral:tRNA from 20 species